rnacentral:lncRNA from 1 species
GAGCCCGGCUCCUUCCUGUACUACGCUCCCUUCGAUGGCAUCCUGGGCCUGGCCUACCCCCAGAUCUCUGCCUCCGGGGCCACACCCGUCUUUGACAACAUGUGGAAUGAGGGGCUGGUUUCGCAGGAUCUCUUCUCAGUCUACCUGAGCGGGUAAGUUGGGCGGGGGCGGGGGGGGGCGGGUCACAGCCACCUGGCCCCACAGGGGGCUGUCCAAGGCUGGAAAAUAGGGCUUGUGUCUUCAACAAGGGAACUUUUAAAUGAUGAAAGCAAGUUUCCUCUGUUAGUUAAGCAAAUCUAGGUUCCGGUUGUGGCUAUGAGUUAAUUCCAAGAAUGAAUACAGAAUACGCCAAGGGUUGGUUCGAUUGAGCAGAGGUUUAUGCAAGAAUAUCAGAGAGUGUCAUCAAUUUUCCUGAGACACUCGGCUUUCUUGUGACACAUCCUUCUCUUUCGAAGCGAUUGGUCAUGGCCGAUGUUUUUCUUGAGCUGUUAACUGUCCCCCUAUAACCUCCCUGCGUUGCAUUGCAUGGUCAGAGGUUUCCAGGGAGCUGGGGUGGGGUUAGGUGAGUGGGGACCAUUAUAUCUGGGGCCAGUUCUUUCGUGGUUAAUUUCUUGGAGUCACCCACCUUCGCUUCCCUAUCUAACCCGAAACUGCAGAGAUUUAGAAAGAGAAUGCCCCGGUCACAAGGACCCCUGCAAUUUACAACAAGAGGAACCGUUCAUCUGUUUUUCCUCCGGGACCCUUAAUAUUCAAGUCGGCUCUUAAACACAGCCUGCCUUUAUGGGUGCUACCCAUAAGAGAGGUCAGGGUUUCUCAAUCACAGCACUAUGGACAUUUUAGACCCGAUAACUCCUUCUGUUGGGGCUCUCCUGGGCAUUAUAAGAUGUUUAGUGGUUUCCCUGGCCUCUCUCUACUAGCUCUCAGUGGCACCCCCUUACGGCAACUGGAUCAUGACAAUCAAAGCAUCCCAGACAGGAGCAAAUUAGAAACCGCCCCUGUCUGAUAACCUGUGAACUACACUGUCAAAUCCUUACGAGCAGACACGCAUCUGCUUCUUUUCUUUCUUUCUUUCUUUUUUUUAAUUUUUUAAGCUUAUUUAUUUAUUUUGGGAGCAAGACAGCGCGAGUGGCAGAGAGAGAGAGGGAGAGACAGACCCCCAAGCAGGCCCCGCACUGCCGGCACAGAGCCCAAUGCGGGGCUCGAUCUCACAGACCGUGAGGUCAUGACCUGAGCCGAAAAACCGAGAGUCUGGACGCUUAACCGACUGAGCCGCCCAGGCGCCCCUGCAUUCACGGCAGUGAGGGCGAAUAUGCGGCAGAAACCACACGCGUUGGAACCAGAAAGACCUGGGCUCCGGUCUUGGUCUCGGUUCGGUCACUCGCCGGCUGUGUGGCCUCGGGCAAGUUGCCUCACUUCUUUGAGCCUCGGUUUCCUCGCUGUGAAGCGGAAAUAACAGUAGCGACCACUCAGGGGCCUUGGUGUAAGGAUCCCAGCUCCUGGGACUGGCAAGAGCUCAAUCGCGGGGGUGGCUCUUAGGACACACACAGCAGAUGUUCAGGUCAAUGAAUGAAUGGAUGAAUCCCUAUCUCCCCCCCCCGCCCCCCCCACAGCAAUGACCAGAGUGGCAGCGUGGUGAUGUUCGGUGGCAUUGAUUCUUCUUACUACACUGGAAAUCUGAACUGGAUCCCUGUUUCUGUCGAGGGUUAUUGGCAGAUCUCCGUGGAC